ACGGAUCGCAUUACGGCCUUUUGGUCGGCGAUGGAUCAUUCAAGUUUCUGACCUAUCAGCUUUCGACGGUACUGUAUUUGGACUACCGUGGCAGUGACGGGUAACGGGGAAUUAGGGUUCGAUUCCGGAGAGGGAGCCUGAGAAACGGCUACCACAUCUAAGGAAGGCAGCAGGCGCGCAAAUUACCCAAUCCUGACUCAGGGAGGUAGUGACAAGAAAUAACAACACUGGAAAUUUUAUUUCUAGUGAUUGGAAUGAUGGGAAUCCAAACCCCUUUCAGAGUAACAAUUGGAGGGCAAGUCUGGUGCCAGCAGCCGCGGUAAUUCCAGCUCCAAUAGCGUAUAUUAAAGUUGUUGCAGUUAAAAAGCUCGUAGUUGGAUAUCUGCUGGAAGCAGCCAGUCCGCCCUUUGUGGGUGUGCACUUGGUGAAUUCUGGCAUCCUCCUGAUUGGUGUUACCAUCACUUGAUUGUGUUGGUGGCAGCUGUCAGGACUGUUACUUUGAGAAAAUUAGAGUGUUUCAAGCAGGCUUGUUGCCUUGAAUACUGCAGCAUGGAAUAACAAGAUAGGAUUUCGGUUCUAUUUUGUUGGUUUCUAGGACUGAAGUAAUGAUUAAUAGGGACAGUUGGGGGCAUUCGUAUUUAACUGUCAGAGGUGAAAUUCUUAGAUUUGUUAAAGACGAACUACUGCGAAAGCAUUUGCCAAAGAUGUUUUCAUUAAUCAAGAACGAAAGUUAGGGGCUCGAAGACGAUCAGAUACCGUCGUAGUCUUAACCAUAAACUAUGCCGACUAGAGAUAGGAAAACGUCAUCCUUGACUUCUCUG
rnacentral:rRNA from 1 species